rnacentral:rRNA from 1 species
UACAGAGGGUGCAAGCGUUGCUCGGAUUUACUGGGCGUAAAGCGUACGCAGACGGUUCGGUAGGUCGGAUGUGAAAGCCCUGGGCUCAACCCAGGAACUGCAUCCGAAACCCCCGAGCUCGAGUAUGAGAGAGGGAAGCGGAAUUCCUGGUGUAGAGGUGAAAUUCGUAGAUAUCAGGAGGAACACCGGUGGCGAAGGCGGGUCUCUGGGCCGAUACUGACGCUGAGGAGCGAAAGCGUGGGGAGCGAACAGG